rnacentral:rRNA from 1 species
GACGAACGCUGGCGGCGUGCUUAACACAUGCAAGUCGAACGGACAGGCCCUGCUUUUGUGGGGUGCUCGAGUGCCGAACGGGUGAGUAACACGUGAGUAACCUGCCCUUGACUUUGGGAUAACUCCAGGAAACUCGGGCUGAUACCGGAUAGGAGCUCCUGCUGCAUGGUGGGGGUUGGAAAGUUUCGGCGGUUGGGGAUGGUCUCGCGGCUUAUCAGCUUGUUGGUGGGGUAGUGGCUUACCAAGGCUUCGACGGGUAGCCGGCCUGAGAGGGUGACCGGCCACAUUGGGACUGAGAUACGGCCCAGACUCCUACGGGAGGCAGCAGUGGGGAAUAUUGCACAAUGGGCGGAAGCCUGAUGCAGCAACGCCGCGUGCGGGAUGACGGCCUUCGGGUUGUAAACCGCUUUCGCCUGUGACGAAGCGUGAGUGACGGUAAUGGGUAAAGAAGCACCGGCUAACUACGUG